rnacentral:rRNA from 1 species
UACGUAGGGUCCGAGCGUUAAUCGGAAUUACUGGGCGUAAAGCGUGCGCAGGCGGUUUUGUAAGCCAGAUGUGAAAUCCCCGGGCUUAACCUGGGAACUGCAUUUGGGACUGCAAGGCUUGAGUACGGCAGAGGGGGGGUAGAAUUCCUGGUGUAGCAGUGAAAUGCGUAGAUAUCAGGAGGAAUACCGAUGGCGAAGGCAGCCCCCUGGGUCGAUACUGACGCUCAUGCACGAAAGCGUGGGGAGCAAACAGG